rnacentral:SRP_RNA from 1 species
CGGUAGGUAGGACCGGGGAGCUAGCCCUGCCCCCACGCCUCUAACGGGCUACAAGAGGGGUCAGUAACCUUCGAUGGGAUCGGGGGCGCGGCGCGUAAGGCGCACCGCCCUCCGUCGAUGUCCUGCCCCGCGGGGCCGGCGGCUGCCCCGCCUGCACUCGUAGGGGCGCAGGCGGGCACUCGACGGGCGAACCUGGCCAGGCCCGGGAGGGAGCAACCUAAGUCCGAACGUUUGGCGCUCGCGGGAACACGGGGCGGAGGAGGGUGAUGCGUGUCUGUGCGCCGCAAUCCCGUGAACGGAGGGGGGGCUGCCG